GUGGUCCAAGGUUUCACAUAUUCAAAACCUAUGCAUAUCUGGUUAAUAGUUCAUCAUCAAAUCAAAUCUCAAUCUCAAUCUCAAGUGCUUCUUGAUCUCAAUCAUUGACCUUAGGCUCAAAGCUCAACUGGAAAUCUAUAAUGGCUGAUAGCCAAAACCUGAUGUACUGAUCUUGGGAGCUUGCACACUUUCAAUGUGCCUUUUUAGUCAUGAGGUCUGGAUUUUGAUUGCUCAAUGACUGUAACUGGCCUGUACGAGCUGGUGGCCAAAAAUUUCUUGCCCCAACUUAUCUGAAGUCUUUUAUGAAACCAUCAUUACCAUGACCUUCUGAUGAUCAUUAUUGGCAUCUUAUUGGGUCGUACUAGAGUUACACGUUAACAAUCAGAGGUUUUGCCAACUUUCAAGAAUAACACUCAGGCAGCAUGCUUUCUUCAGAUUUUUAAAUCUGAGUUCAUCCAACUCAGAGUUUCGGACACAAACUAGGAUAGUUCUGGUGACGCAGCUUUUAUCUGCAGACUGAGCAGAAAGAUUUCACCUCUGUGUACCAGUUUAUGUUAGAAAACAAUGCCAAAGCUUGAGAUCCACAUUGUGAAUGUGGUGAUUCAAACUGUAAAUCAGCUGUAGCUUUUGUGCUCAUGACAUGAGACAAACAGAGGUUAGAGUUUUGAAGCUUCUUCAGCACAAUCUAUAUGGCUGGAACUCAAUAACUUUUGGCCUGCAUUUCCUACGAAUAGCGCAUCAACGUUUAAAACAACCAGCAGUCUAGUUUUGUUGAUUUUACAUGUCUGCUUCUGUGGAUUCCACGAAGACUAUGGUCAAUCAAGGAGUAUUCGCAGCUGUUGGUCAUCACUUUCAUGUUUUGGUUCAAAAAUUCUGGUAAUUUUAGAUAUGCUUCUCUUCUUACACUGCACGAUUGUGACUUUUAACCACUUUGAUAUCUAAUAUAUUAUGCACAAAACAAAAGAAAUCUUGUCAUCCUGAAGAUAUUUUUGAGGUAGCCAAGGAUGAUGUACUGUUCAAGCAAUGAAGUUGCACAAAACUUGGUGGAGUAUCUUCCAACGCUCAAGUCUAAGCGCAAUGUUUUGGAGCAUUCCGGUUGUUAGUCAAUCGUGCUUGUUGCCACUUGCUGCUCUUAGUGAAUCCACCUUGAUAAAAAAAAAAAAAGGCUCUCAAGCUCUCUCUGUUUUUAUGAUGGUUGGUUGCUAGGAUUUUUAUGGUAAGUUUCUUCUUUUGGGGCUUUGAUUACAAUGACUGAAAACCUGCAAUUAUUGAAAAUUUCCAUUAGCCGUAUUCUAUGUUAUAUGCCAUCUUGAGUUUGAGUUUUUGUGCUUUGCAGUGAUUUUAGGCCCAAAGCUCAACAGGGAACCUCAUCGAUGCUUUUAAACUGUCCAAAUGAUUCAGCUAUAAUGAGAUGCUGCUUGUAGUUAGAUGUUAGAUCUCUAUUGUGCCUCAAUGCCUCAAUAUGAGAUGCUUUGCAUGUGCUACAAAAAGUGCCUAUCAUUAUUUUCAAGUUUAUGAGUUGUAAUUACCUGCAUUGCAGUUGGAACCAAACUAAUGUAAUUGCCAUAGAAAUAACUGUUUAUCCAUUUAGUUUCAUAACAAACAAGACACACAUUUUAGCAUUUUGUGAGAUUGACAGAACCAAAGUAUUGGUGCAUUAUCUGAACUUUCUUAUUGGCUUUCUUGUUGACCACAUAUUGUCCCAGUUCUAGUCUUUUGUUCUACAAUGA